rnacentral:rRNA from 1 species
GACGAACGCUGGCGGCGUGCCUAAUACAUGCAAGUAGGACGCAGUUGCGAACGCGUGAGUAACGCCUAGGUAACUGCCUCUUUGAGGGGGAUAAAUAUUGGAAACGAUAGCUAAUACCGCAUACUAGUAGAUGGACCUGCGUUGUAUUAGGUAGUAGGUUGGGUAAUGGCCUACCUAGGCAACGAUACAUAGCCGACCUGAGGGGGUGAUCGGCCAAACUGGGACUGAGGCAAGGCCCGGAAUCCUACGGGAGGCAGCAGGAGGGAAUCUUCGGGAAGGGGGGGAACCCUGACCGAGCAACGCCGCGUGAGUGAAGAAGGUUUUCGGAUCGUAAAGCUCUGUUGUUAAGGAAGCGGUACUUAACCAGAAAGGGACGGCUAACUACGUGCCAGCAGCCGCGGUAAUAC